rnacentral:rRNA from 1 species
GGAAGCUAACCUGGUGAACUGAAACAUCUAAGUAACCAGAGGAAAAGAAAACAAUAGUGAUUCCCUGAGUAGUGGCGAACGAAAAGGGAACAGCCCAAACCAAGAUUAUUUCGGUAAUUUUGGGGUUGUAGGACUACAACAUGUAAUAUAAAUUUAUAAAAGAACGUUUUGGAAAGAACGACCAUAGUGGGUAAUAGUCCCGUAUUUGAAAUAGAUUUAUUAACUAGUAGUAUCCUGAGUAGGGCGGGACACGUGAAAUCCUGUCUGAAUUUGCCGGGACCAUCCGGUAAGGCUAAAUACUAAUGAGAGACCGAUAGUGAACAAGUACCGUGAGGGAAAGGUGAAAAGUACUCCGAAUAGGAGAGUGAAAUAGAUCCUGAAACCAUACGCUUACAAGCGGUAGGAGCCAUUUUUAUGGUGACUGCGUGCCUUUUGCAUAAUGAACCUACGAGUUACUCCUCUCUAGCAAGGAUAAGAAUUUUUGAUUUGAAUCCGUAGCGAAAGCAAGUCUGAAUAGGGCGCUUAGUUAGAGGGGGUAGACGCGAAACCAAGUGAUCUACCCAUGACCAGGUUGAAACUCCGUUAAUCUGGAGUGGAGGACCGAACCAAUAUACGUUGAAAAGUGUUUGGAUGA